ensembl:lncRNA LINC02856 long intergenic non-protein coding RNA 2856
AGUCUCUCAAAUAACAGAUAAAGAAAUUAGGCAAGGUACUGCUGUCUCCAUCUCUGUAAAAUAAAACCUAGGCACUUUCACUGAUAAUAGACUAGCACCAACAUGCAGUCAGUAACACGGGACACUAAAAACAAGCCAUUUGGAUCACACAAAGAAGAAUAUUGACUCGUGCCACUUUAAAACAUGUGAUAUUAUUUGGCAUUCACAAUUCUUUCCCUAUUUGUUGUCUGUAUUGAAUUUUUCCUUUGACUUAGUGCACUUGCUCAUGUAUCUUGCCCUCUUUUAAACCUUGGUUGGUGACGGUUCUUUGCACAAUUGCGGAGGUCUUUUGCUACUCCAAUUGCAUAAAUAACUGAAGUAAGGCUGCAAAAGUCAACCGAGCUUGGGCAUCAAGGACAAUGAAGUUGCUGAGUAUCUCUUGUGCCUCACUGACUCCUUUCCAGUCAGGAGACGACCAGUUUGAAGCAGAAGAAUGUCCUGAUAAUGGCAUAGAGCCAAAGCGAUUCCAUCCUCUGGACAUGAGCUGUGUGGUGUCCCCGUCCUCAUACCUAUUCCAGAACCACACUGGUCCCUGCUCUCGUCUCCGAACUGUCGGAGGAUGGACCUGCUUUUGCAAGGACCUGAACUCCCUGUGUUGUUGCUUAAGAUUUUUACCCAGGCAUGAAAAGGAAAUGAAUUCUGCCAACUCAUCGCUGUGUCUGUGGGAACAGAAACUCAGGGCACCUAUUCUCUGCAAGAAAAGCAUCAAUUCCCUGUAAGAAAAGUUUCCCACCUGAGACAAUGACACAGACCAACAUAAAUGCUCUUUUGGUUUUAUGAUUUCUGAUAUUAGAUUUUACUUGAUUUUUUUAUUUUUAAUUUUUUAAAUUUCAUUUUGAGAGUUAAAAGGGUUACUUCUUUUAUUUCCAGCAGUUCAAGGAAUUUCAGAGCAAUCUUGGUCCAGAGUUGGUAAUAAAGACAUUUAAAUGAG